UACGUAGGGGGGCUAGCGUUGUCCGGAAUCAUUGGGCGUAAAGAGCGUGUAGGCGGUCCGGUAAGUCCGCUGUGAAAGUCGGGGGGCUCAACCCUCGAAUGCCGGUGGAUACUGUCGGGCUAGAGUGCGGAAGAGGCGAGUGGAAUUCCUGGUGUAGCGGUGAAAUGCGCAGAUAUCAGGAGGAACACCUAUUGCGAAGGCAGCUCGCUGGGACGUAACUGACGCUGAGACGCGAAAAGCGUGGGGGAGCAAACAGG
rnacentral:rRNA from 1 species